rnacentral:rRNA from 1 species
CCAGACUCCUACGGGAGGCAGCAGUGGGGGAUAUUGCACAAUGGGGGAAACCCUGAUGCAGCGACGCCGCGUGUGGGAAGACGGUCCUCUGGAUUGUAAACCACUGUCCCCAGGGACGAAGAUGACGGUACCUGGGGAGGAAGCUCCGGCUAACUACGUGCCAGCAGCCGCGGUAAUACGUAGGGAGCAAGCGUUAUCCGGAUUUAUUGGGUGUAAAGGGUGCGUAGACGGGAAAUUAAGUUAGUUGUGAAAUCCCUCGGCUCAACUGAGGAACUGCAACUAAAACUGGUUUUCUUGAGUGUUGGAGAGGAAAGCGGAAUUCCUAGUGUAGCGGUGAAAUGCGUAGAUAUUAGGAGGAACACCAGUGGCGAAGGCGGCUUUCUGGACAAUAACUGACGUUGAGGCACGAAAGUGUGGGGAGCAAACAGGAUUAGAUACCCCAGUAUUU